rnacentral:rRNA from 1 species
AUGAACGCUAGCGGGAGGCCUAACACAUGCAAGCCGAGCGGUAUUGUUUCUUCGGAAAUGAGAGCGCGGCGUACGGGUGCGUAACACGUGUGCAACCUGCCUUUAUCUGGGGGAUAGCCUUUCGAAAGGAAGAUUAAUACUCCAUAAUAUAUUGAACGGCAUCGUUUAAUAUUGAAAGCUCCGGCGGAUAGAGAUGGGCACGCGCAAGAUUAGCUAGUUGGUGAGGUAACGGCUCACCAAGGCGAUGAUCUUUAGGGGGCCUGAGAGGGUGAUCCCCCACACUGGUACUGAGACACGGACCAGACUCCUACGGGAGGCAGCAGUGAGGAAUAUUGGUCAAUGGGUGCAGGCCUGAACCAGCCAUCCCGUGUGAAGGACGACUGCCCUAUGGGUUGUAAACUUCUUUUGGAUAGGGAUAAACCUACCCUCGAGAGGGUAGCUGAAGGUACUAUACGAAUAAGCACCGGCUAACUCCGUG